UGGGCAACAAUGCAGAUGGUUGAGAGCAAGAGAUGGGGAUGGGUUAUUCAAAUGCAGUGGUUGUCUUCUUCGGGCAUCUAACUUUUCUGGAAAGCUUGGGAAGGGAAAUGAAUACAGAACCAUCAAUCAAAACGGUAACAUUUCUUUAUUAUUCAAGAGAACCAACAAAAAGGGGGAAAAAAAGAUGUGGUUCUAAUGGGAAGAUGUGGAAUCAAAAAUGGAGAAACAUUCUUUUCACCCUGUUUGCCAUUGCUACCAAGGUGGGCGAAGAAAGAUGAGAGAAAAGGCUCAUCUGUUGCGAAAACGAGUUAACUUCCUUGAUUUGUUUAUGGCUCAUAUUCAGCUGUUAUAGCAGAUGAAUCCACAUCUUGAGACUGAAAUAACAACCAUUUCUCGCCUCUUGUCAGUUCCAAUUGCAGAUGGUUGUAGCUGAUGGCGAUUAGCAAACUAAUCCUACCCUUCACAUGUCUUUCCAUCGAUAACUUGAAUACAACACCAAACCCGGUUUCACUACA